AUUGAACGCUGGCGGCAUGCCUUACACAUGCAAGUCGAACGGCAGCGGACCUUCGGUGCCGGCGAGUGGCGAACGGGUGAGUAAUAUAUCGGAACGUACCUUUCAGUGGGGGAGUAACGUAGCGAAAGUUACGCUAAUACCGCAUAUUCUGUGAGCAGGAAAGCAGGGGAUCGCAAGACCUUGCGCUGAUUGAGCGGCCGAUAUCAGAUUAGCUAGUUGGUGAGGUAAAGGACUCACCAAGGCGACGAUCUGUAGCGGGUCUGAGAGGAUGAUCCGCCACACUGGAACUGAGACACGGUCCAGACUCCUACGGGAGGCAGCAGUGGGGGAAUUUUGGUACAAUAGGGCGGCGAAGACC
rnacentral:rRNA from 1 species